UGAAAAAGGCGCCCUCGGGCGCCGCCUGUCUAACAGGUUACCCUUGUAUUUCGCACCAUUCGUUGCCUCGGUGGGCUUGCCCGCCAGCGAGGCCCCCCAUCAAAACUAUUUGCAAUUGCGGUAUCAGUCUGAAAACAAAAAACAAUCAAUUA
rnacentral:misc_RNA from 1 species